AAAAAAUUGACAUGGACAAAUUUAAAACGCAACAGAGAAAUAAAUUAAAAAUAUGCAUACCAAAUGGAAUUUAAAGUGUAAAAGCAAUAUGAAAUUAAAGUGGAGAAACCAAAUGGGAUUUAAAGCACAAUGCAGCGAAGAAGUCAAUUGCAACUAAUUCUAUUAAAAUACUAUUAAUCUAAAAAGUGAAUGAUGAUUUUAGUAGCUAGCAAUGCCAUUCAUUAAUGAGAAACAAUGCAAGGAAAAGUACGAAGAAAAGAUGCGUGAAGACGUGAAUUAGAUUGGUGGAAAGGUAAUGAUAACAUGGAGAAACGUGAGUGAUGAAUCAAUAAAAUAAGUUAACAUUGAGCAUGAACUGUAAUGUAACGUUAAUGCAGUAGAAAACUUAAAUCAAUCUCGGUGCAUACUUGAAUACAAUAUAAAAAAAAAAACCUUCUUGAACUACAAUUAAAGGACGUUACAAUGCUGCCAGUGUGCUUCCCAAGAUAAAAAAAAAAAAAAACUAGUGAAUACAACGUUUCAGUCGUAGCCCUCCAUUGGCGGCUUCUCCAAGGAAUAUCAAAUUCUCUCCAAUUGUUCCAACCAGCCAAAAAAAUUUGAGUAUGGGGUGACG
rnacentral:lncRNA from 1 species